GACGAACGCUGGCGGCGUGCUUAACACAUGCAAGUCGAACGGAAAGGCCUCUUUCGGGGGGUACUCGAGUGGCGAACGGGUGAGUAACACGUGAGUAACCUGCCCUUGACUUUGGGAUAACUUCAGGAAACUGGGGCUAAUACCGGAUAGGAGCUCCUGCUGCAUGGUGGGGGUUGGAAAGUUUCGGCGGUUGGGGAUGGACUCGCGGCUUAUCAGCUUGUUGGUGGGGUAGUGGCUUACCAAGGCUUUGACGGGUAGCCGGCCUGAGAGGGUGACCGGCCACAUUGGGACUGAGAUACGGCCCAGACUCCUACGGGAGGCAGCAGUGGGGAAUAUUGCACAAUGGGUGGAAGCCUGAUGCAUCAACGCCGUGUGCGGGAUGACGGCCUUCGGGUUGUAAACCGCUUUCGCUCAUGACGAAGCUUUGUGUGACGGUAGUGGGUAAAGAAGCACCGGCUAACUACGUG
rnacentral:rRNA from 1 species